CGGCGGUGUAACUUAAAUGGAAAAAGUUACGUUGCGCCAGGUUUUUGAGGAUUAGGCCCUAAGAGCUUUUCAUUAGAGCAAGCCAAUAGAGCCUGGUUAAUCUCUUGGCUGGAAGACACCAAUCACUAUCAAGCACUCUCUUCUCCCAAGCCUGAUUGGCUCUGGACCACUCAUUUUAUUCCUUGGAUUUCAGUCAUUUCAAAUGUAGAAGCUCAGUGUUACUCAAAGGAGCCUUCCCAGGAAAAGCCCACUACCCCAGACUGACAUUUAGUCCAUAGUUGCACAAGUCCCCCCUUAGGACCAGCCUACUGCUUGCAUCAGGGCUAAAGGCCCCUGGAAGGUGUAGUAAAGCCGGGUGCUGAAAUGCAUUCAGGAAGCUAUGUGUAGAACCCUGCUAUCCCUCCCAUCAGUCAUGAUUUGCCAGAGAAGCACAGAAAUCUGAUGACAUCAUUGGAUCUAAAGUCAGGUAUGUAAAGAAAAUGGAAGGGUUUUAUUUAAAAUUGUAUUUUAUUGUCAUUAGCAUGGGGAAGAAGAAACCAGGGAAGACGUAUAUAAGCAGAUUACAUUUAAGCUUUAAUACAAAUACAAUUUUAUAUCUGGUGAUUAUUGGCUUCACCAACCCUGAGAAAUAUUAUAAUGGCUCAUAAUUUGGUUGUCACUUUUUGACAGAAAUUGCAAAUGUUGUAUCUGGUAUUUAGGACUGAAAUUUUAAAUGAGAUGAAAAAAAAAAACUACAUAUAAAGAUAACAAAUGUCUUAUUUUUGCCAAAGGUGUAAAUAAAAAUAUUAAGGCAUGUGAAAUUAAAGUGGUUCUAAAGGCUCAAGGUUUUUUACCUCCAUGCGUACUAUGCAUGAAGUUAAAAAAAAAAAAAUAUGCAGCAGCCCCCCAAUACUUACCUAAACACGAUCUUCCUCCAGUGCUGUGCACGAGAGCCUCUGCUCUUUGGGGACUCUCCCUCAUUGGCUAAGACAGCAGCAGGAACCAUUGGCUCCCGCUGCUGUCAAUCACAGCCAGUGAGCCAAUGAGGAGAUACAGGAGCAACCUGAGUCACGGCUCUUUGUGUGAAUGGACACGCAGAGCAGCAGCUUGGAAGCGAGACUGCUUGGGUGCCCCCAUUGCUAGUUGCUUGCUCUGUGGGCACUCGGCAGAAGAGAGGGGGCCAGGAGCACUGGCGGGGGACCCGGGAAGAGGAAGAUCGGGGCUGCUCUGUGCAAAACUAUGCACAGAGCAGGUAAGUAUAACAUGUUCAUUUUAAUGUUAACAAAAUCUGAAGCUUUAAUAUCACUGUAAUACGCUGAAUACCAUCAUUGCAGGUAUUAACCUCAUACAGUUCUCAGAAUAUAUAUAUUUUUUAAUUGUGAUAACAGAGCAAACAUGUUAAGUAUUUAAACAUUUUAAAGGAAUGGUCCCUGCUAUAACUUUCAGUCAGGAAUACCAACUUUGAUGAGGGCAGUUAAAGUCAGGGCGGUUAAACUCUCAGUUUAAAAAUGAAACCAAAUCUGAAGGGCACAAAGAAACAUUUCCGGCUAGCAGAAAAUUUGUAGAGCAAGUUUUAAGAACUUUAAACGUUUUAAAAAUGUCUGGCAUGUUUGCUGUAAGCUUUCAGUUAACAGGUAGAAAAUAUACCUUUCUCAAAAAAAGCACAUUUGCUGAUUUUCUUGGUGCCUUACUUUACUUCUAUUAAGGUUCUUUACAGUACAAACAAGGAAGCUUAGAAAUCUCUGCAGUGUAUUAAUAUGGCAAGUGGAAAAAACUUUGUGAGCUUCUACACUCCUACCCUACAGUGAAAAUCAAGCAAAAUAUAAAAUAUUAAUAAAAUAAAAUAAUAAAAAUGUAUUUGAAUAUGAAAUUGUGAAAAUAAAAUAAAAAAAACAGCUGCCAACACUACCCACACUUCCCAAAUGUGACAAUACAAACUGAUAUAACAAAUGUGUAGUGCUAAAAAUAAAAUGAAAAUAGCAGUAAAUAUAAAAAAAAAAAAAAAAAAA